rnacentral:rRNA from 1 species
GACGAACGCUGGCGGCGUGCUUAAUACAUGCAAGUCGAACGAAAAGGCCCUGCUCUUGUUGGGUGCUCGAUUGGCGAAGGCGUGAGUAACACGCGUGUAUCCUGUCCCUGACUUUGGGGUAACUUCUGGGAACUCGGGCUAAUAUCGGGUAGGAGCUACUGCUCCAUGGUGUGGGAUGGAUAGUGUCGGUGGUUGUGGAUGGACUCGCGGCUUAUGAGCUUGUUUGUGGAGUAGUGGCUUACUAGGGCUUUGACGGGUAGGCGGCCUGGGAGGGUGAACGGCGACCAUGGGACUGAGGUACGGCCCAGUCUCCUACGGGAGGCAACAGUGGGGAGUAUUGCACAAUGGGCGGAAGCCUGAUGCAGCAACGCCGCGUGCGGGAUGACGGCCUUCGGGUUGAAAACCGCUUUCGCCUGUGCCGAAGCGUGAGUGACGGUAAUGGGUAAAGAAGCACCGGCUAACUACGUG